rnacentral:rRNA from 1 species
GAUGAACGCUGGCGGCGUGCCUAAUACAUGCAAGUCGAGCGAACAGACGAGGAGCUUGCUCCUCUGACGUUAGCGGCGGACGGGUGAGUAACACGUGGAUAACCUACCUAUAAGACUGGGAUAACUUCGGGAAACCGGAGCUAAUACCGGAUAAUAUAUUGAACCGCAUGGUUCAAUAGUGAAAGACGGUUUUGCUGUCACUUCUAGAUGGAUCCGCGCCGCAUUAGCUAGUUGGUAAGGUAACGGCUUACCAAGGCAACGAUGCGUAGCCGACCGGAGAGGGUGAUCGGCCACACUGGAACUGAGACACGGUCCAGACUCCUACGGGAGGCAGCAGUAGGGAAUCUUCCGCAAUGGGCGAAAGCUUGACGGAGCGACGCCGCGUGAGUGAUGAAGGUCUUCGGAUCGUAAAACUCUGUUAUUAGGGAAGAACAAAUGUGUAAGUAACUAUGCACGUCUUGACGGUACCUAAUCAGAAAGCCACGGCUAACUACGUG